AACCGCCCAAGCGACAGAAAGAGAGGAAGAGGACUUCUUUGGAAACCUAGAACUUACCGAUCCAACGAUCAAGAUCAAAAGCAAGGAUCGGAUGGUACCCGUGCAUUCCGAACUGACGGUGGGAUUAUAGGCGUCGAAAUGGAUCUGACGGUCUUUAUGCUGUGCGAUUUGACGGGCAUGCAUUGGAACGUCUCUCGUGUGUUUGUCUGGAUUUCAUAGGGAUUCAUCUGCCUGUUUUGCGUACAUCCGAGUUCCUCCGCCGCUCGAAUCAGGUCAAUUAGUCGACAGUCAGUUUGCCGAAGCGAGCUUGUUCGCAUCGUUGUCGCAUUGGAAUAUCGUCGGGAUUUAGGAACGUCUCCUGUGCUUGUCUGGAUUUCGUAGGUGCAUUUCGCGGUUGCGAUGAUUUUAGAAAACUGCAAAGUUCGGGAGGCCUCUCAGCACGUUUAUGGAGUGUUUAUGGAGUUCUGAUGUGGUUGGUUGCUGGCUGCUGUGUUGAAUGGGACUGAUUUCAUCUGUAAAACAAAGAUGGUGGUAUUAGGGAGGAGGAUUAGUGUGUUUAAGCAUCUGAUUCGGUGGUUUUU
rnacentral:lncRNA from 1 species